rnacentral:rRNA from 1 species
AGCGGUGGAAAGCAAACUAAACAGGAUUCUCUUAGUAACUGCGAGUGAACAGAGAUUAGCCCAACAUCGAAGCCACCAUGCAUUUGUAUGGGAGGCAAUGUGAUGUUUUGGUGUUUGAACGCACUGUCUGGCUAACUUGAAGUCCAUAUUUGACUGUGGCUUGUAUUUAUACACCCAGAGAUGGUGAUAGGCCCGUUCAGGUUGGUAUUCUGGCAUGACAGUUCAGUGUGUAAUCAUUCAUCAUAGAGUCGGAUUGCUUGAGAGUGCAGUCCAAAAUGGGUGGUAAACUCCAUCUAAGGCUAAAUACCUGUACGAGUCCGAUAGUCAACAAGUACCGUGAGGGAAAGUUGAAAAGUACUCUGAAGAGAGAGUAAAUAGUACGUGAAACCACAUGGAGGUUAAACAAAUAGAGUCAAGCUGCUUGCAUCAUAUCAUUGCAAUAUGCGCAUUUUGUUGCAUGACAUUUGCCGGGACCUGGCGUGUGAUUCUGUCUACUUGUAGGCAUUUGAACAUGUGUUUGUUGUUUGAAAGGUCUCGGUGAGUGUCUGCGCUUAUUGUUCAUGAUGGGUGCUAAUGCCAUAGUCGGUUGUACUACCAGUGCGCAGUAAUCGGCGAUUGUGCGGGCUGACUUAUUGUCGUUCGUGCAAUCAGUGAAACAGUUGGCAACAGUGUGUGCUUGCAUUCGCUUUUGUCAAAGAAGGCCACGGCCUGUUGAUUACUGUGAACAUUGUGAGAGUCGACCGUUCAUAUGUGCUCAUAUAAUUUGUGGUAGUAAGUCGACUUGUCGACUACUUCCAUAAAUGAGC